rnacentral:RNase_P_RNA from 1 species
GGAGUUGACUAGACAGUCGCUGCUUUAUCAUCAUCCCUUGGAUGAUAGAUAGAGGGGAGGAAAGUCCGGGCUCCAUAGGGCAGGGUGCCAGAUAACGUCUGGGAGGUGAAAGCCUACGACUAGUGCAACAGAGAGCAAACCGCCGAUGGCCUACUUAUGUAGGAUCAGGUAAGGGUGAAAGGGUGCGGUAAGAGCGCACCGCGCGACUGGUAACAGUUCGUGGCACGGUAAACUCCACCCGGAGCAAGGCCAAAUAGGGGUUCACCAGGUACGGCCCGUAUCGAACCCGGGUAGGCUGCUUGAGCCAGUGCGCAAGUGCUGGCCUAGAUGAAUGAUUGUCCACGACAGAACCCGGCUUAUCGGUCAACUUCACAA